rnacentral:rRNA from 1 species
UGAGCAAUCUGCCCUUCACAUCGGAAUAAGCGUUGGAAACGACGUCUAAUGCCGAAUACGACCUCCUUUCGCAUGAUCGGAGGUGGAAAGCUCCGGCGGAGAAGGAUGAGCUCGCGGCCUAUCAGCUAGUUGGUGAGGUAAUGGCUCACCAAGGCGACGACGGGUAGCCGGCCUGAGAGGGUGACCGGCCACACUGGGACUGAGACACGGCCCAGACUCCUAGGAGG